rnacentral:rRNA from 1 species
CCGCGGGAAUUCGAUUGAGUUUGAUCCUGGCUCAGAACGAACGCUGGCGGCAGGCCUAACACAUGCAAGUCGAACGCCGUAGCAAUACGGAGUGGCAGACGGGUGAGUAACGCGUGGGAACAUACCCCUCGGUUCGGAAUAACUCAGGGAAACUUGAGCUAAUACCGGAUAAGUCCGAGGUUUUAAUCGACCUUGGAGAAAGAUUUAUCGCCGGAGGAUUGGCCCGCGUCUGAUUAGCUUGUUGGUGAGGUAAUGGCUCACCAAGGCGACGAUCAGUAGCUGGUCUGAGAGGAUGAUCAGCCACAUUGGGACUGAGACACGGCCCAAACUCCUACGGGAGGCAGCAGUGGGGAAUAUUGGACAAUGGGCAAAAGCCUGAUCCAGCCAUGCCGCGUGAGUGAUGAAGGCCUUAGGGUUGUAAAGCUCUUUUACCCGGGAAGAUAAUGACGGUACCGGGAGAAUAAGCCCCGGCUAACUUCGUGCCAGCAGCCGCGGUAAUACGAAGGGGGCUAGCGUUGUUCGGAAUUACUGGGCGUAAAGCGCACGUAGGCGGAUCUUUAAGUCAGGGGUGAAAUCCCGAGGCUCAACCUCGGAACUGCCUUUGAUACUGGGGAUAUCGAGUCCGGGAGAGGUGAGUGGAACUGCGAGUGUAGAGGUGAAAUUCGUAGAUAUUCGCAAGAACACCAGUGGC